rnacentral:rRNA from 1 species
UCCUGGCUCAGGAUGAACGCUGGCGGCGUGCUUAACACAUGCAAGUCGAACGAUGACCCGGUGCUUGCACCGGUGAUUAGUGGCGAACGGGUGAGUAACACGUGAGUAACCUGCCCUUGACUCUGGGAUAAGCCUGGGAAACUGGGUCUAAUACCGGAUAUGACUCCUCAUCGCAUGGUGGGGGGUGGAAAGCUUUUUGUGGUUUUGGAUGGACUCGCGGCCUAUCAGCUUGUUGGUGAGGUAAUGGCUUACCAAGGCGACGACGGGUAGCCGGCCUGAGAGGGUGACCGGCCACACUGGGACUGAGACACGGCCCAGACUCCUACGGGAGGCAGCAGUGGGGAAUAUUGCACAAUGGGCGCAAGCCUGAUGCAGCGACGCCGCGUGAGGGAUGACGGCCUUCGGGUUGUAAACCUCUUUCAGUAGGGAAGAAGCGAAAGUGACGGUACCUGCAGAAGAAGCGCCGGCUAACUACGUGCCAGCAGCCGCGGUAAUACGUAGGGCGCAAGCGUUAUCCGGAAUUAUUGGGCGUAAAGAGCUCGUAGGCGGUUUGUCGCGUCUGCCGUGAAAGUCCGGGGCUCAACUCCGGAUCUGCGGUGGGUACGGGCAGACUAGAGUGAUGUAGGGGAGACUGGAAUUCCUGGUGUAGCGGUGAAAUGCGCAGAUAUCAGGAGGAACACCGAGAA